UACGGAGGAUGCGAGCGUUAUCCGGAUUUAUUGGGUUUAAAGGGUGCGCAGGCGGCACGGCAAGCCGGCGGUCAAAUCGCGGGGCUCAACCCCGCCCAGCCGUCGGAACUGCCGGGCUAGAGUGGGCGAGAAGUGCGCGGUAUGCGUGGUGUAGCGGUGAAAUGCAUAGAUAUCACGCAGAACUCCGAUUGCGAAGGCAGCGCACCGGCGCCCUACUGACGCUCAGGCACGAAAGCGUGGGUAUCGAACAGG
rnacentral:rRNA from 1 species